rnacentral:rRNA from 1 species
AGGGCACCACCAGGAGUGGAGCCUGCGGCUUAAUUUGACUCAACACGGGAAAACUUACCCGGCCCGGACACUGGAAGGAUUGACAGAUUGAGAGCUCUUUCUUAAUUCGGUGGGUGGUGGUGCAUGGCCGUUCUUAGUUGGUGGAGCGAUUUGUCUGGUUAAUUCCGAUAACGAACGAGACUCUGGCCUAUUAAAUAGACGGCGUAUCGAAACGUACGUCGAGCUUCUUAGAGGGACAAGCGGCGUCUAGCCGCAUGAAAUAGAGCAAUAACAGGUCUGUGAUGCCCUUAGAUGUCCGGGGCUGCACGCGCGCUACACUGAAAGAAUCAGUGUGCGUUACGCCUAGUUCGGAAGAACCGGGUAACCCAAGUAAAUUCUUUCGUGCUUGGGAUAGGGAAUUGCAAUUAUUUCCCUUAAACGAGGAAUUCCCAGUAAAUGCGGGUCAUAAGCUCGCGUUGAUUACGUCCCUGCCCUUUGUACACACCGCCCGUCGCUACUACCGAUUGGAUGACUUAGUGA